CGGAGCCGUAUGAGGUGAAAAUCUCAUGUACGGUUUCUUUAGGUGGCAGUAAGGGUGACUUAUCUGUCAACUUUUCCAUUCACCCCCAAAAAACCAAACUCUGCCUUACUAAGU
rnacentral:ncRNA from 1 species